GAGGAAGAAGUAUUGAAGGUUGAAAGCCAUGAAAGCAGAGAGAGGCCUUCCUGGUUCAGUGCACAGAUGGCUGGGAACAGAGAGAUGUUGAGGAACAAGAGAAAAAUAGUGAUUGCAUUGCUUGACAUGAUGAGGUUGGUGCUCUGCUACUCCUCUUUAUCUCUUAUCAUUCUACCAAAACUGGUCACAACAUAUUCUUCUGAUUGUUUCCACUAAAUGGUAAUGCUACACUGAAAUGCCCUUGUUGUCACUCAGAAUUACAAACAAAGAACAAAAAAAUAUCACUAAUAUUCAAAACCCUUUCGGCUUUUACAAUUAAUAUGCCUGGUUCAAGUGAGACUGUACUGGAGGGGAUAACUACUGGGGACAGAAGUGACAGUCUGUUUUCUGGAUUUAUUGCAGAGAUGGCUAGAGAGAUAUAAUUGAAUGUUUUAGGGUGUGAAGUUGCAAUUUCUAUCAAUGUGGUGAUGAUGGAAGUUGUUGUCUUCUUAUAAAUCCUUGGCAAAUUUACUACUGUUACCCUUCUUUCUUGUUGGGUCUCUGGGUUUUCCUGUCUUGUUUUGUCUCAAAUUUAUCUUUAUUCCAGAACUGGGAAACAACAGCACAUGCUACAGUACCACACAACAGGGCUGUUUGUAUAACAAGUAGUAAAAACAAAACAUUAUCAGAAUGUAUAUAUGAGAAUAAUAUUAGCCAAGAAAAGUAGAAGAUUAGUAUAAUCCCAUCUGGGUUUUGGCACAAUACAUGAAAUGGUGGAUUUCAUUGGAUUUUUAUAUGCUAUAGCAUGCUAAAAAAUACUUGUUCUUCAGAAUUAUUUCUAGUUCUACUGCAUUCCAUUUCAUUUGGAUAUUGUGUCUGCAUGGAUUGGGGUAUGUUAAUGUGACACUACUUUCUUAAUUUCUGUAGGACUUUUAAUCAAGGAUUUAGGGUUUUUGCAAGGUAAAUCCACUGUAAUCCAAGCUCUGAAAAGGACAGCACAGCACCCAUAAAAAGAGGUGGACACCACAACCUUUUCUGCAGUUAUGGUAAGGUCUCAAAAUCAAGCUUCCUUUGAUAAAGUCGAUCUUAUCAUGAGAAGUGAGCCUCUGAUGUUGUAGAGUGAUAAUAAAAUAGGUUUCUUCUUCAUUUUGAGAGAGCCCAUUUCUUCCCCAUACAUGAACCUUCCCACAACCCCAAAAGAAAUGACCCUGUUCUGGAUUUUUUUAAUUUAUAAGAAAUGUCUCUUCCCUUUGGCUACUAGCCCAGACAGGCAGAUGCACUUGAGAAGCCAUUCCUCUCGUAAGAGCUUGCACGGCCUAAGGUCUAUAGAUUUGAAUGGGCAGAGUGUCGUACUGGAAAGUGAUUGUAGUACUAAAGAGAAACCAUUUGCAGUUAAUAAUAACAUUCUAUUAUUUAACUACACCGAUGUUACUAUUAUUGGGGCAAUAAUUAGGACAACAAAAGUGGUAAUAAUGAUUAGGAGGUUGAUAAUGACAAAGAAGAGGAGAAUGCAUGCAGCAUUUCUGGCAGAAGGACCCACAAAAUGGUGAGAUAUACGUUCAGACCACACAAGAAGUUAAAGGAGCCUUUCAUUGGAUGAUCAUGACCCAAGUUUUUACUCUUACAUCCAAUGAAAAUAUAUUGAAGAUGAAAAAUGGAAAAUAUGUGGUUGUGAAGGGUUUGUUUUUGCUGCUGUUGCUGUAGUUGUAUAGGAAUGAGCUGUAGAGAAAGUGAAAAAUCAUCAAAGAAUCCAAGCAAGCAACCAGGUUGGAAGUUGGAUUGGGAAGAGUAGUCCCAUUCCACCAAAGAAAAAAAAGAGGUGUGCAGUGAAAUCAGGGUAGGAAUAAGUUGGGAUAUUAAUCAAGGGAAAGGUAUGAGGUAUGGCGAAAUUGUGGUUUGGAUUAAGUUAUGGAAGGUGGGGUGAGCUAUUGCCCGACCAUAACUAGUGGCAACUCUCCACCUUUUCCAACUCAACCCAUUUGGAUUUUUGGAAUUUUGUUUUGAUUGAUGGUGACCCAUCAUCCUAUCUCUCAAAAAUAAUAGAAAUUAAAACUACUAGUAAACAAAAAAUACUUUGAAAUGGCCUUAAAUUAUGACACCCGCUAUAAAAAGAUAGUGGGUAGCCUUGGUUCUUAAUUGAAUUGUUUAUAUAUUUUGUUAGUUCUUUGUUUAAAAAAUAAAAUAAACCAAAGCGAGAAAGUAAAAAAGGGUAGAUUUAUUGGCAUAUGGGGAACUGAAUCUGGGACUUAUUCCUAUCCCACAGAGGCCCAAAAGAUGCAGCUUUAGUUUAUUGGGAGCAUUUGUCUUUGUGAUGACAUGAACAAUAAAAAUGGUGAUAGUUUAGUUAGUGUUUUUUAAAUCAUGAAACUGAAUAAUUUCCCACUUUCCAGCAAUUAUGUGAUUGAUUUUAAUUCUCAUAUCCACCCCCACCCACUAUUACAGAAUCACAUCCACACACACUAGUACAGGAGUGGCCCAACUAUUAUUUCUGUUUUUCUGCUGUCUUCACUCUGCCACAUCAAGUGGGAUGGUUUACUACAUGCCUCACAAAUGGACUCCCUAGAUUUCCCACCAAACAAUUCCCAUUAUCAAUUCUUGAUUUUCUUCAACAAUUUAUAGAAAAGUGCUUAUUAUCUGUGCUUAUUGUCCUAACACAUAUAUAGAGUGCACCCUUUUGGUUUGCAGCCAUCAAUAUCAAGUACUUCAUUAUCCCUAAUUAUGCUUUAUCAGAAAUGAAGUACAAAAGUGGGGUUUUAUCUUCAAGUGUGUCAAUUAUACCCCCAGGUUAGUGGGCCAAAACUCCAAUAAUAUUGAUUGGAUUCAUCAACUUCAAACUGCUUUAAGGUGAAACUAGGCCUAUUGAACUUUCAACUUUUAAACAGAGAUCUUAAGCAGUCGAAAAGGCUUCAGCAAAAACACAACCCCACAUGCUUCCAAGUCUAUUUUUUGAACCUGACACUUCAAUUAAAAUAGGCCUAUAAUCUAAGCGUUGUUGUAACUUGUAAUUCAUUCCUUACAGCACAUGAUCUCUCAAUGCUUCUCUUUGUCUGAAAGAUUAGCAUCCAUUCCUUCCCUAAUUAGCAAUCUUGGAAUGCUUGUAGCUAGAUGCUUAAGGCACGGAAACAAUUGUUUCAAGAAGCCACACUCACACUUCUCCCAAGUUGGCCUGUGAUUCAUCCAUGGCCUCUCUUGAUCAGAAUUCCUUAGGGCCAUGCCUUAGCUUGAAGAAGGCCUCCCAACUCAUUGUCUAUAGUCAAAUCAGGUAAUGUAAAUCAUUUGAGCAACCCUUCACCACCCAAAUUUUUUCAAUUGUCAUGAGGAAACCAGCACCCCAAAAAUGUCACAAAAGAGAGUGAAGGAAACAAAUAUAGAGCAUGGUCCUAGGACGAUGGUCUGUGGAUCGAUCACGUGGGAUGGCCCCUCUGCUGCUGCCUCUUUCUGAUUUGGACUUGUGGUCUCCUUCUCUUUAAAGUUCUUCAAUUCACACACAUGAUUUACACAUUCUCAUCAUUUUUGUUACUCUUCCUUUGAUGUUGCUAUUGAUUUGAGCUUUAGAUACUCUGCAUUUGUUCAAGAUACGACAUUCUUGGAAGCCAUUAAUGUGAUCGUAUGUACAGAGCAUUAUAAAACCUUUGUACAAGUUGAUGGAUGCAAUGGGACCAAAUAUUCAGUUCUGCAAGGACAGCAUAGGAUAAGGUGACAAUUGUACUGUAACUCCAUUUUUUUCGCCAUCCAUACUUCGUUUCUUAUUAAAAUUUGUAGAAAUUGUUGAAGGUAACAAGUACUGUUUCUUAUCCCGUCCCACUUGCAGCGGAAGGUAAAGAUAAGAUGUAAAGGGGCAACAUAUUAGUUGGUUUAUCAAGAAAACAGCCUCAUCACCUCAUUUCUGAACCAUCCAAGCCUGAUUAAUCAUUCUGAAAUAUUGAAUGGCAAGGAAUAUUAAUUCUAAUGGAGAUGGUGUGAUGGGAUGUGGACUGAUUCUAUGUCAUCCAAAAUAUUGCAGAAUCUGAUGGAGAUGGACGUAUAUCAAUUCCCUACAAAUACUAAUUCCAAAACCACUAUGUGAUAUUCUUGCACGUCACAUUCACAGACCAUACACUAAAUGCUGGCUUCAUGCCUUAGAAUGCUGAUUGCCACCUACCUUAUUGUUCUGGUCAUCUGCAAUGCUGCCAUCAUCAUCAAAAUACGGUGCAUGUGCUGCUAACCCCCUAAUUCUCUCUAGUUUAAGCUUUGAUUGAAUGCAGAUUCUGAUCAUUUUGCAGGCUGGGGUGACAAUUAAGAACUGAUCAAGAGGGGACUUCAAACCUUGGUGGGGAUGUGGAAUUGCGUCACUUCUGGUAUAUCUCUCAAUCUAAUUACCACCUGGGACCCAAAUAAUUGAAGUGGGUGUUCAUCAAUUGUCACUUCUUACACAACUCAUAACCUAACUAUAUCCCAAACCCCCCUAAAUAAUUGAAUUGAAGAGUGCUGACAAAGGAAAACCUUCUAAUUGAUUGAUGUAUUAAUUAAUCGUUGCAUCAAUACCCAUGUUCACAUUUGGACUGCAAGAGAUAUUCAUGAACACAAGAUAUUCAUGAAUUUGGGUCUCAAUUCAUCAUGUCAUCACCUUACCAAACUGAUUUCAUUCAUAUUGUAUGAACUGAAUCAUUAAGAUAAAGGCACAGCUUGAAAUCGAACGAGACUUCAUGGUAAUGGCGCCGUUGGAAACC
rnacentral:lncRNA from 1 species